GAUGAUGGUCCAAACCCGUUUUCUCUUCGCUUUGCUGCUUAUCGCGGCCGUUUUUCUCGCCCGCCAAACUCGAGCCGGCGGAGAAACUUACUCAGAUGAUGGAUCAACAACCCGAAAAUAUUUCAUAGAAUCGCUUCUUGUCGCUCCAGAGAGGAAACCCGAAGAUCCAUGUCCGUCGGGAUUCGUUCUUCAAAGGGGCACAUGCAGGAUGACUCAAUCUUGAAAGGAGCCGUGUUCCUCGGAAGCGGCUGCUCCACGGUCAAAUUAUUUGAAAUGGAAUUAAAUUUUGAAUAAAAAAUUAAAUUUUAAUUAGAAAGAAUAA